AGUGAACGCUGGCGGUAGGCCUAACACAUGCAAGUCGAACGGCAGCACAGUAAGAUCUUGCUCUUACGGGUGGCGAGUGGCGUACGGGUGAGUUAUACAUCGGAAUCUACUUUUUCUUGUGGGAUCACGUAGGUAAACUUACUCUAAUACCGCAUACGACCUACGGUUGUAAGCAGGUGAUCUUCUUACCUUGCGCGAUUGUAUUAGCCGAUGUCGGAUUAGCUAGUUGGCUGGGUAAAGGCCCACCAAGGCGACGAUCCGUAGCUGGUCUGAGAGGAUGAUCAGCAACACGGGAACUGAGACACGGACCAGAAGACUACGGGAGGAAGCAGUGGGGAAUAGUGGACAAUGGGGGAAAGCAUGAUACAGCAAGACCGCGUGGGUGAAGAAGGCAUUCGGGUGGUAAAGCAAUUUUGUGGGGAAAGAAAAGAAGCAGGUUAAUACCCCGAUGGUCUGACGGUACCAAAAGAAUAAGCACCGGCUAACUUCGUG
rnacentral:rRNA from 1 species